rnacentral:lncRNA from 1 species
AAAUUACCUGGCAUGCCUUUUCACCUCUCUUUCCGUCUUGCACAGUAAUAUUCGUAAAUCCUUUUGCACAAAUUGCAAGCUAGCACUUGUUUUAAUCCAGGGUGUAAAGUUUUAUGGUAUCACAUCGGUUGUCACAAGUAUCACAUCAAGUGUUGGAAUAGUAAUGAUAAAACAAAUUAUAGAAGUUCUUAGUACUCCGCG